CUCGAGUAGGCCCCAGCAAGCCAGGAAGGAGGCUGGCAGAGCUCCCUGCAGCAGACCCUCAGACCAUCCAGCACAGCUUUUGCAGGAUUGCCAGAUGUCCCUAAAGGAAGAAGACAAACAUAAACUAUGAGGAAGACUCACACAGAAUCUUCACAGAGGCCUCCAAACCCACCCUCACUACUGAACUGACUGCUGAGCAUCCCAGGUUCUUGCCAUUAGCUGAAAAUAAGGGACAAAUGGUAUCCUGUAAGGGGCAGACAAUUUGGCGCUGAAAUAAAGGACAUUCUUGCUAAUAAAAGAUUGUUGAGUUCUGUAAGGUGAGAUGGGGAUCUCCCAAAGAAUUCACAGCAGUUUCACCAUGUUACAAUUCCCAGGAUGCUUUGAGGAAAGCCACAACAGUCGCACUGUACAAAAUCAAAAGCAGUUUCUUCAUCCCAAAGCAUCCGCACACUGCCAGUGGGAAGAGAGGCUUGACGAGCUCAGGUUGGUGGAGAACAGGGAUGGAGCCAGCUGCAAAAGCAGUGGGAAUGUUUUGGCCACUCCCACAUGGCACAGCUCCUCCUGCCCUCACCAAUAACCCUCAGCCCAAAUAACUUUUUCAACACUUGGAGCCAUGAGGGUGAAGUGGGGGCGGGGAAGGACUGCAAAGCUCAACAGACAUAGUUCAUGGUAAGUGUGUGUGGGCUAUGCAGAUCCAAGCCAGAUGAACCUCCAUCAUUCUAAGACGUGCCUGUGUACCACAAGCAAAGACUGAACUGAUAAUCUCCAGAGCAAACAAUAGCAGUCCAACAGACCAGGUUAUAAAUCCACUGACUUCAUCAUAGAUGGCUAGAGACCAUAACCGACUGUCUAAUCUCCCUCAUGGGGAUUACACAAGGAUCCAGGAUCUGGUUUUUCAGAGGCUAUAACUCACUCUCCACAUCAGGUUUUAAAUCUGAAGGGAAAUCUUGAUCUCGUCCAGCUGACCGGCUCAUCUGAAAGCACCCAACCUCUUAACAAAGGACAUUCCUCAUUCCAAACAGAAGUCUCUUCUCCCCCCACCCCCCAGAAUAUGCCAACUAUUUCCAGUCAUCACAUCCACCUUCCCUACGGAAAUCCCUGGUGUUGUGUUUGGCCGUAUAUAUUUAAGGAGGCUCAUGCCCUUUAAGCCCUGGCAUGGACUGGCACCCUCACACUAGAGAAAAACAGCCUGGCAAAGGUUAACAUUUGGCACUAUGGAACAUAAUGAAGUGCUAACUUGUCAUUUUUUUUUAAUGAAGUUGUGGCACUGGAGAUUUAUAGUUGCUAAUGAGGCAGAAUAAUAAUUAGUCAUUUUUUAAUGAGGCUGAUGAUCACUCAGACAGAGACAGACAGGAAAAUGGGUCUUAGCUUUGGACUAAUUUUCUUCUGGUAAUUGUGUGACAUGCCUGACUGCCUGGAACCCACCAGCCAGCCCCUUUCCUUCUUCCUCUGCUGGGCCGUCUGUGCCAAGUUGCACUGUCUGCCCUUCUCCUCUGCAUCCAUGGAGGACAGGGUGUGAGCAGAUGAGGCUGUCUGCUUGCCAGAUGAGAGCAUUCACAUUUAGAGGACAUUGUGACACAUUCCUCGCCAGCAGAAUGGCACCUGCCCAAGUGAUCCUUGGCUAUUGGCCACAGAUAAUGGGAAGGUGUGAGUGAGUGACAGCUCUCUAAUAGUUGGCUAAAACGAGCUGCUAUCAUAUGGCAGAUGGCGUCAAGGCAAGAGUUCAGCCUUAUAAUUACUCACCCCAGUGACCUCAGAAGUAUGUGUGUGUGUGUGUGCAUGUGUGUGCGUGGGUGGGGGAACAGAUCCCAUCUCUGGGCCUUCUUUCUGCCAUUUCAGCCUGAAAUCAAGUUGAGUGCCGUUAACCACUUAAGGCAAGGGUUCCCAAACUGGGUUCCCCAGAUGAGGUUGGACUACAACUCCCAUCAUCCCAAAAGCUGCUGUGGCUGUGGAUGAUGGGAGUUGUAGUCCAACAUCACCUGGGGACACAAGAUUGGGAACCCCUGAUUAAAGGGAAAGAUUAGGCAAGAGAUGCCAGGCACUUCUAAGUUGAGCUCUCUUCCAUAGACUCUCCCAGUUCUCUCUUGAUGUCACCCUUUUAGGGCUAUAUAGGAACAACCAGUGCAAGUCCACAACCAUCGUCCAGUUGCUUUCUGUAUGCCCUCUGAAGCUGGUGUUAGAAAACAACUUCCCUGCCCACUUGCCAUUCACAAGUGCAUUCAUGGUAGCUCUCCAUUUUUUGAACUCCAAACACUGCUGCAGAUGUGUUCUCUGACUGCCUUGACUAACAGAUGUUGAUAUUCCCUUUAGGAAUGCCCUAAAGUCCAUUUCAUUUCUGACUGUGAGCUCUCCAGACUAAUUGGUGGGGGAUAUGUUGUUUGUUUAAAACUUGCUGUAUUAAUUUCUUCAGGAGUCAUCCUAAUUUUCAUAUUUCAUCUUUAACAGGGCAAAAUAAGUAAUUUCAUUUUCCUCUCUCGCAUCUUCCACCUCUCACCUUUCCAUUAGCUUUUUGUUUCUGUGUGGAAGUUAAAACGUAUCCUUCUCUUUGCCUUUCUCUGUGAGGAUGAUCUCUCUAUGAUCAUUGCUGUUAUCCUGCUUCUUGCAUUUUGUUUGGUUUCAUUCCUUUUUGCCACAGGGUGUAUAUACACAGUGCUCAAGAUGUGGGCCCACCAUUCAUUUGUACCGAAAUACUAUGAAAGGCUUCUGUAUUAUUCUCUUGGCCUUUCCUAACACUUUGUUUGCCUUUUUGAUAGCUGCAGCCUGAUGGUUUUCAGCGAACCUUCCACAAUGAUUCUGAGAUCUCUUUCACAUUCCUUUCAUCCUUUACAAACUGAUUACCUUUCUGCUUCUGAAACUGCUACAAGAAAAACUCUGCUGGCUGUUCCACAGACGCUCAAAAUGGGAAAGUUCUCCUCAGGUCAUUCGGUUCACACCCUGCCUUCAGACGGUGGAGCGUUAUUCCCCACCAUGUAUUUAUUAUGUUUGGACUAUCCUAGCUUGAGCUCUGAGACUUCUAGCCCUGCUUCUUGUGAAAUUACUCAUCAGUGUGGUAGACUUUGCGGAGGGAACAUUUCUACUGCUUUUUUUUUUUAAUGCAAAUUUUUCCAUCUUCCCUCACUUUAGUCCUCUUUUGCUGGAUGCCCCUCAGGGUGAGUCAUGGAAAAGUGUUAUUUGCUUCCUUUUCAUUGUUCCAAAUUUGCAAAGAAUAACUCAUACUUGGAAGGUGUUAGUAUGAAAUGGAAAUAUUUGUGCAAUAUGAAGUAAAGAUUUCUCUGAAAUGAUACUAUAGGUUUCACCAUGCAUUAAAUUAAGGAAGGGAAUUCACACAGACCCUACAUAUCCAGUUUAUGGUGGAAAGAUCAGUUAACGCAUAUGCUUCCAGUAAUACAGUACGCAAUUAACUGACUGUAAAGUUGAGAACGUCAAGCCACAAUAAAACAGUUCUUCUUU